UACGGAGGGUGCAAGCGUUAUCCGGAUUCACUGGGUUUAAAGGGCGUGUAGGUGGUUCUGUAUGUCUACCGUGAAAGCGUACGGCUCAACCGUAUUUAGUCGGUAGAAACUGCAGGACUUGAGGCUGGGAGGGGCUGGUGGAAUUCCCCGUGUAGCGGUGAAAUGCGUAGAGAUGGGGGAGAACACGCGUGGCGAAGGCGGCCAGCUAGACCAGUUCUGACACUGAGGCGCGAUAGCGUGGGGAGCAAACAGG
rnacentral:rRNA from 1 species